rnacentral:rRNA from 1 species
UACGGGGGGAGCAAGCGUUGUUCGGAUUUACUGGGCGUAAAGGGCGCGUAGGCGACGCAACAAGUCACUUGUGAAAUCUCCGGGCUUAACUCGGAGCGGCCAAGUGAUACUGUCGUGCUAGAGUGCGGAAGGGGCAACUGGAAUUCUCGGUGUAGCGGUGAGAUGCGUAGAUAUCGAGAGGAACACCUGCGGCGAAGGCAGCCUUCUGGGCCAACACUGACGCUCAUGCACGAAAGCGUGGGGAGCAAACAGGAUUAG